rnacentral:rRNA from 1 species
UACGGAGGGUGCGAGCGUUGUCCGGAAUCAUUGGGCGUAAAGGGCGCGUAGGCGGCCUUAUAAGUCAGAUGUGAAAGCUCUGGGCUCAACCCAGGAAUUGCAUCUGAUACUGUAGGGCUUGAGUUCGGUAGAGGAGGGCGGAAUUCCAGGUGUAGCGGUGAAAUGCGUAGAUAUCUGGAGGAACACCCGUGGCGAAGGCGGCUCUCUGGUCCGAAACUGACGCUGAGGUGCGAAAGCUAGGGUAGCAAACAGG